rnacentral:rRNA from 1 species
UGGGGAAUAUUCCGCAAUGGGCGAAAGCCUGACGGAGCGAUACCGCGUGUAGGAUGAAGGCUUUAGGGUCGUAAACUACUGUCGACGGGGAAGAAAAAAAUGACGGUACCCGUAAAGGAAGCACCGGCUAACUCUGUGCCAGCAGCCGCGGUAAGACAGAGGGUGCGAGCGUUGUCCGGAUUUAUUGGGCGUAAAACGUCUGUAGUCGGUUUAUUAAGUCUGUGGUUAAAGAGUCCAGCUCAACUGGAUAAUGCCAUAGAUACUGAUGAACUAGAGUGUGUCAGGGGUUAGUGGAAUUCCCAGUGUAGCGGUGAAAUGCGUAGAUAUUGGGAGGAACUCCGGUGGCGAAGGCGACUAACUGGGGCACAACUGACGAUGAGAGACGAAAGCGUGGGUAGCA